UACGUAGGGUGCAAGCGUUAUCCGGAAUUAUUGGGCGUAAAGAGCUCGUAGGCGGUUUGUUGCGUCGGCUGUGAAAUCCCGAGGCUCAACCUCGGGUCUGCAGUCGAUACGAGCAAACUAGAGUGCUGCAGGGGAGACUGGAAUUCCUGGUGUAGCGGUGAAAUGCGCAGAUAUCAGGAGGAACACCGGUGGCGAAGGCGGGUCUCUGGGCAACAACUGACGCUGAGGAGCGAAAGCGUGGGGAGCGAACAGG
rnacentral:rRNA from 1 species